CUCUCCUCUUCCUGUGUCUACUACUUCUGCAGAACAACAGCUGAGACUCAGGUUCCUCUGAACAGGACUACCACCAGGGGAAGUGAGAGAAGAGAGAAGGAGGAAGGAGAUCUGUGUUAUGCCUCGUUGGAUAUCCGUCAGGGACAGAGGAGACCAAAGAAGAAGAAGAGAGUCCAGAACUCUGACUUCAG